UAACCAGGAUUGUGUUGACCGGCCACUCCCUGCUUGGAACGUAAAUCCCUAGUUUGGAGCCUGACAAAUAUUAUAAAAUCUAUGAUAUUUGAUCUCCAAAUAUCAUAAACUGUCCCACACUGAGAACUGCACCUACAGUUACUGAGAUACAAUGAAGAAAUUGCCAAAUGGGUUUGGCGAUAGGGUUAUUAAUGAUUACCAUAACCGGAAGGAAUAGUAUUCCAGAGCCUGCUUUGGUAGGAAAGCGGGUGAAUAGUGUCAGCAGAGGCAUUACAAUCCAGUCAGUUGCUUGUAAGUUUUAAAAUGUCACAAGAAUUAAACAGAAAGAAAGAGAAGUAUUAGGGCCUUGGGAGUGAAGCUCUUAAGUGGUGAUGGGAAAAAAGGUCCAGCUAGACAUUUAAAAAAUACAAACCUUGCUAAGCCAGUUUUGUAUGAAAGUUGAAACUAAAAGAAAAAAAGAAAAAGAAAAGAAAUCCUAAAGAGAAUAACAGAGCCCAUUUAGAGAUGUCGUUCUGUUAAUCAACAAUAGUAAAUAGCAGCAGUAAAACAACUAUUAGCCAAGAAGGAGCAUUAUUGACCAUGUUGAAUGGGCAGACCUGUAGGACAUUAGCAUAAUUCAUAAGUAGCUUAGAGUUAUAGGACACAGAGGUAAUAUAGAAGGCAAGUGGUAAUAAAAACCUCGAAUACAAGAGGGAUCAAGAUCCACCCACUCUUGCCUGAACAAUCACAGUAACCUAGCGGACUUCUCUUAUAUCUUACUUCCUUACUGCCUAAUUCUGCCCACCAGCAGCAUCUAAUACUGUUUUGCUCACAACCCUUUAAUGGCUUUUACCAUCUCAUUGAAACCUAAAACCCUCCCCAUGGUUUGCAACUUGUUCUUGAUGGGUCAUAUGCAGACGACAUUUUAGAGUUCAUCUAACCCCUGUCAGGCACAACAUGCCUCACGCUUUGCGUUACCUGUUCCUUCGGUAUGGCGCAUUGCCCUCAGAUACAUCCACUGGGAAUGAAAAUGAAGCAUUUACCAGCUGUUACCGUGGAAUUAGGGAUGAGUUCCUCUGCCUGUGCUCCAGUCUGAUAGACUUACAUACUUAUCUGACAGAUCACCACUGACCGCAGAAAACAUUCAUGAUGGGAAGUUCUGGUUUCUGGGGAAGAACAGUUCUACCAGAGAAACAGAUCUGGCUGACUACAAAGCACCUAGCUUGGAUAGGUUAGAGCUCUUCAGACCAUCCAGCUCCCAAGCAUCCUUUGCCCUCUAUGAGCAUCCUGUCUGGACAAGUCCCUGCUGCAUGUUCUGCUGGACCCUGUCACUCCUGCUGGUCAGGUUAGAGUUCUUCAUUCGUCUCCUGCACACGUCCCGUACCCUCCACCCACCCGACACACAGGUUAAAAGACCAUGCACCUUCCUCCUCUUGUACAAACUUGUCACUCAGUACUUGCUGUGACUGGAUAGGUUGAAGUUUCCCAACCUUCUUCCCUACUAAGGCUCUGACUACAGCAUCAAUGUUGGAUCUUCACUGGGACUCCACCCUGUGUCAUGGAGAUUCUGCAGCUUUGGAUCAGCAAAUCGGGCCCUUUCUCAAGCUCCAACAGUUCAUAGAUGAUGUAGAUUUGGGGGUGGCCAACUCAAAGCCCUAGAUCUGGGUCUGCAUGGUAGCUAAGUAGGUCAGCCUGCUGGCUCUUUGAUAUCUCCACUAGCAGGAUGGGCUUUCUAGCACUGCCCUGCUAGCUCACCCAACGCUGUCACUGGUAGGGGGCAGAGUCAGCUCUCCAGAGGCUCACCUGAACUCUAGAAGUCUGUCAUGGAGUCAGCCUGUCUCAUUGACAGGUGGAUCUGGGCAUUUUUCCCUGCCUGCUCAGAAUAGCAUGGAGAUGAUGGGUCUCUGAUGCCUUCCUCAUCCCUUGGUGUGGUGUGGUGGCAGGGGUCUGUGUGUCCUCUGCCUGCCUACUCUGCAUGGCAAAUAAGUUCAUUUUUGGUAAAUACACAUAUACACACACACAUUUGUAUACUAUUUAGAGCUGUUCUUAUAUUUUCAUAUAUAUUCUGGUGUAAGUGGUCACUAUGUAUUUAAUUGUGACAUUUAGUGUUAUCAUCUGUUACUUUGAAACAGGCAAUGGAGAGUGAACCAAGGGACACACGUGUCCAACCACCGUAUUGUAUUUUCCU